rnacentral:SRP_RNA from 1 species
GCCAGGUGUGGUUUCACACACCUAUAAUUCCAGCUACCGGGAAAGCCAAGGUAGAAGGAUUGCUUGAGUGCAAGAGUUCUGGUCUGUGGUGUGCUUUGCCAAUCAGGUGUCUGCACUGUUGGUCAUCAGUAUGGUGACCUCUGAGGAGCCAAGGGUUAUCAGGUUGCCCAAGGAGGAAUGAACUGGCCCAGGUCCAAAAUGGAGCUGGUCAAAACUCUGGUGCUGAUCAAUAGUGGGAUUGUGCCUGUGAAUAGCCACCGUACUCCAGCCUGGGCAACAUAGCAAUAUCCCAUCUCU